rnacentral:rRNA from 1 species
AUUGAACGCUGGCGGCAGGCCUAACACAUGCAAGUCGAACGAGUGGCGGACGGGUGAGUAAUGUCUGGGAAACUGCCUGAUGGCGGGGGAUAACUACUGGAAACGGUAGCUAAUACCGCAUACCAUCGGAUGUGCCCAGAUGGGAUUAGCUAUUAGGUGGGGUAACGGCUCACCUGGGCGACGAUCCCUAGCUGGUCUGAGAGGAUGACCAGCCAAACGGGAACUGAGAAACGGGCCAGAGUCCUACGGGAGGCAGCAGUGGGGACUAUUGUACAAUGGGCGCAAGCCUGAUGCAGCCAUGCCGCGUGUAUGAAGAAGGCCUUCGGGUUGUAAAGUACUUUCAGCGGGGAGGCGUUACCCGCAGAAGAAGCACCGGCUAACUCCGUGCCAGCAGCCGCGGUAAUUC